UACGUAGGUGGCAAGCGUUGUCCGGAUUUACUGGGCGUAAAGGGCGCGUAGGCGGUGCGGUAAGUCACCUGUGAAAUCUCCUGGCUCAACUGGGAGCUUGCAGGCGAAACUGCCGUGCUGGAGUGUGGGAGAGGUGAGUGGAAUUCCCGGUGUAGCGGUGAAAUGCGUAGAUAGUCGGGAGGAACGACCGGUGGCGAAGGCGGGUCUCUGGGCCGUAACUGGACGCUGAGGAGCGAAAGCGUGGGGAGCGAACAGG
rnacentral:rRNA from 1 species